AGCGAACGCUGGCGGCAGGCCUAACACGUGCAAGUCGAACGAACUCUUCGGAGUUAGUGGCGGACGGGUGAGUCACACGUGGGAACGUGCCUUUAUGUUCGGAAUAACUCAGUUAAACUUGUGCUAAUACCGGAUGUGCCCUUCGAGUGAAAGAUUUAUCGCCUUUGUAGGAGCCCGCGUCGGAUUAGCUAGUUGGUGAGGUAAAGGCCCACCAAGGCGACGAUCAGUAGCUGGGCUGAGAGGAUGAUCAGCCACACUGGGACGGAGACACGGCACAAACUCCUACGGGAGGCAGCAGUGGGGGAUCUUGCGCAAUGGGCGAAAGCCUGACGGAGCCAUGGCGCGUGAAUGAUGAAGGUCUUAGGAUAGUAAAAUUCUUUCACCGGGGACGAUAAUGACGGUACCCGGAGAAGAAGCCCCGGCUAACUUCGUG
rnacentral:rRNA from 1 species